rnacentral:rRNA from 1 species
CCGGAUUCAUUGGGUUUUUAGGGUGCGUACGCGGCCUAUUGGUGCUGCGGUGUCCCCCGGCGUGUUAACUGCAGAACUGCCAUUGAUACUGAUAGCCUUGAGUUUGGGCUGGUAGGCGGAAUGUGUAAUGUAGCGGUGAAAUGCUUAGAUAUUAUGGGAACACCAAUUGCGUAGGCAUGUUACUGAUGCGACACUGACGCUGACGCACAAAAGCGUGGGGAUCGAACAGGAUUAAUACCCUGGUGAUCCACGCCGUAAACGAUGAUUACUCGCUGUUGGCGAUACACUGUCAGCGGCUAAGCAAAAGCAAUAAGUAAUCCACCUGGGGAGUACGGCCGCAAGGUUGAAACUCAAAGGAAUUGACGGGGGCCCGCACAAGCGGAGGAACAUGUGGUUUAAUUCGAUGAUACGCGAGGAACCUUACCUGGGCUUAAAUGUAGAGUGCAUUUUCUAGAGAUAGGAAUUCCCUUCGGGGCUUUCUGCAAGGUGCUGCAUGGUUGUCGUCAGCUCGUGCCGUGAGGUGUCGGGUUAAGUCCCAUAACGAGCGCAACCCUUAUCGUUAGUUGCCAUCUGGUAAAGCAGGGGACUCUAGCGAAACUGCCACCGUAAGGUGAGAGGAAGGUGGGGAUGACGUCAAAUCAGCACGGCCCUUAUGUCCAGGGCUACACACGUGUUACAAUGGUCGGUACAGAGGGCAGCUACCUGGUGACAGGAUGCUAAUCUCGAAAACCGGUCUCAGUUCGGAUCGAAGUCUGCAACUCGACUUCGUGAAGCUGGAUUCGCUAGUAAUCGCGCAUCAGC